rnacentral:rRNA from 1 species
UACGUAGGGUGCGAGCGUUGUCCGGAAUUAUUGGGCGUAAAGGGCUCGUAGGCGGUUUGUCGCGUCGGGAGUGAAAUCCACUGGCUUAACUGGUGGCUUGCUUUCGAUACGGGCAGACUGGAGGUAUGCAGGGGAGAACGGAAUUCCUGGUGUAGCGGUGAAAUGCGCAGAUAUCCGGAGGAACACCAGUGGCGAAGGCGACUUUCUGGCCUGUUCUUGACGCUGAGGCGCGAAAGCUAGGGGAGCAAACGGG